AAUUUCCUCCGUUACACAGUGGUUAAGAGAAACAGCAUAUCCUAAGAUCACAGAAGGAAUGGCUACUGAACUGCACAUGAAGCAAAACUGCUGUUAGCCAGGAAAGCCCUCCAAAAGCCUCCAUGCAACGCAUCAUAGUCCAAUACAAGCGGAGAAGAAUGCUCCUUAAAAAGUUACAAGGAUGAGGAACAGCCAGAACACGAGAUUUUCCUGGGAAUCAAUCCAAGAAGUGGUGGUGGAGGCUUGCUAGUUAAUCCGUUUGUUAAAAGGAGUGCUUUUUCAGCCUGCAGCAUUAUUCCCUUAUUUUAUUCAUUGGGCCUUUUCAUUCCAGCAGGUGAUCAAUAUGGGGAUCCGUACGUAAGGUAACUGCUGCUUCAACUUUUUUUAUUGGACAAGGUGUAAAC
rnacentral:lncRNA from 1 species